CGGCGCCCCGCCCCCUCGCCCCCUCUCCCUCCUCAGCGCGUGCGAGCCCCGCGAAAGGGCGGGCUCGGCCUCGCCGCCGUUGGGCGCGGGCGGCCCGGCUGCGGCUAUUGUUGCGGCGCCGGGCCGGGCCGGGCCGGGCCGCGGCGCGGGAAGCCGUUUAGCGAGGCCAGCGCCCCGCGGAGCGGCGGCGGCGCGGCGAGCCUUUUACCUCCCUUUCAGAGGGGCGCCGUCCCCUGCGGCCUAUGCGCUGCCCCGCGUCGUGCUUCGCGGCCGGGCGGGGAGGCCGCUCCGAGCUUGGCGGCUGGGCGGGGGGGGGCAGGGCCCUCACGGCUGCCCUUGCCAAAUGGCUCCUCGCCGGAGGAGGAAGCCGCCGCCGCCGCGGGAAGGGGCGCGGCUGCCUCGAGAGACCCAACCAGGAAAAGAAUCUGAAUGGUCAGACUCUAUGUCAUGUCUUAUGAAGAAACUGGAGGAAUUGAAUUUAGAUAUUGAAGAAGCUCUCAGUGCUGGCUCUUCUCCCUCCAGUACUCCUUCUGCCAAAAGGCACAAGCUACUGUGCCCUGUUCAAGUGGAGACUGGCUUUUAUGGAGAUCAUCAAGGAAAGAGAUCUUGGAAAAAUAGAAGAGCAGGCUACCAGGAUCUAGAUUGUUCAUCUAGCCCAGUGUCAGCUGGAGCACGACCAAAAACUGAUUGGAAUUGCUGCAGAAGAGCAUUCCAACAGGAGAGAGCAAAAACUUCCUUUAUUAUCUUAUCACCGGCGCAUAGCUCCUACCAUAAGAGCUGAAUAAAAUAUUUUUACA
rnacentral:lncRNA from 1 species